rnacentral:rRNA from 1 species
GGAAUCUUAGACAAUGGGCGCAAGCCUGCUCUAGCCAUGCCGCGUGAGCGAUGAAGGCCUUAGGGUUGUAAAGCUCUUUCACCGGGGAAGAUAAUGACGGUACCCGCAGAAGAAGCCCCGGCUAACUCCGUGGCAGCAGCCGCGGUAAUACGGAGGGGGCUAGCGGUGUUCGGAAUUACUGGGCGUAAAGGGCACGUAGGCUGGCUGUUAAGUCGGGGGUGAAAUCCUGAGGCUCAACCUCAGAAGUGCCUCCGAUACUGGCGGUCUUGAGUGCGGGAGAGGUGAGUGGAAUUCCCAGUGUAGAGGUGAAAUUCGUAGAUAUUGGGAAGAACACCAGUGGCGAAGGCGGCUCACUGGCCCGCAACUGACGCUGAGGUGCGAAAGCGUGGGGAGCAA